GACGAACGCUGGCGGCGUGCCUAAUACAUGCAAGUCGAGCGGAGUUAGAGAAGCUUGCUUCUCUAACUUAGCGGCGGACGGGUGAGUAACACGUGGGCAAUCUGCCCGUAAGACUGGGAUAACUCCGGGAAACCGGGGCUAAUACCGGAUAAUCCUGACUCUCUCCUGAGAGUCAGUUGAAAGAUGGUUUCGGCUAUCACUUACGGAUGAGCCCGCGGCGCAUUAGCUAGUUGGUAGGGGUGAUGGCCUACCAAGGCGACGAUGCGUAGCCGACCUGAGAGGGUGAUCGGCCACACUGGGACUGAGACACGGCCCAGACUCCUACGGGAGGCAGCAGUAGGGAAUCUUCCGCAAUGGACGAAAGUCUGACGGAGCAACGCCGCGUGAGUGAAGAAGGUUUUCGGAUCGUAAAACUCUGUUGUUAGGGAAGAACACGUACGAGAGUAACUGCUCGUACCUUGACGGUACCUAACCAGAAAGCCACGGCUAACUACGUG
rnacentral:rRNA from 1 species